rnacentral:rRNA from 1 species
UACGUAGGGUGCGAGCGUUGUCCGGAAUUAUUGGGCGUAAAGGGCUCGUAGGCGGUUUGUCGCGUCGGGAGUGAAAACUCAGGGCUUAACCCUGAGCCUGCUUCCGAUACGGGCAGACUAGAGGUAUGCAGGGGAGAACGGAAUUCCUGGUGUAGCGGUGAAAUGCGCAGAUAUCAGGAGGAACACCGGUGGCGAAGGCGGCUCUCUGGGCCUUACCUGACGCUGAGGAACGAAAGCGUGGGUAGCGAACAGG